rnacentral:rRNA from 1 species
GACGAACACUGGCGGCGUGCCUAAUACAUGCAAGUCGACCUUAGUGGCGAACGGGUGAUUAACACGUGGCUGACCUACCCAGCAAACUGGUGUAACACUUGGCAACAGGUGCUAAUACCGUAUACUGAUGGAUGUACCCGCGGUGCAUUAGCUAGUUGGUGAGGUAACGGCUCACCAAGGCCACGAUGCAUAGCCGACCUGAGAGGGUGAUCGGCCACACUGGGACUGAGACACGGCCCAAACUCCUACGGGAGGCAGCAGUGGGGAAUAUUCGGCAAUGGACGAAAGUCUGACCGAGCAAUGCCGCGUGAGUGAAGAAGGUCUUCGGAUCGUAAAACUCUGUUGUUAGAGAAGCGGUAUCUGACCAGAAAGCAACGGCUAACUCCGUGCCAGCAGCCGCGGUAAUAC